GCCCGAGCCACACCAGCCGGACCGCGGGCGGCGGCAUCGCGCGGCGUGCAGCGUGCGCGGGCCCCGCCCUCGGCCGGGUCUCGGGGCGGGGACUCGGGGCCACGCCCCUGAGCUGCAGCUCCACGGUGGAGAUCCAGUUCCUGCCUACCCGUGUGACCUGGAAUCCAGCAGGACUGGCCUUAUUCGCCCGUUCGUUCCGAUAGUCAUUCCUUAGUAUGUGCUGCGUUCUUCAGGCCGAAGUCCUAGGGGACCCCUGUGAAAGGGCUCAUUUGCCCCAGAAGGGUCGAGACCGACACGUUGAGAAACUAUUUGCCUUGGAAGCACUGUGAGUCAGACCCUCCCGGAGCUGGACUUACAGGCAGCAUGAAAAAUACCUUACUUCAUGUGGGCACCCCGCCACCAUUGGGAGAACCGUGAGAAUCCAGUUGUUCUCAAAACAGUGCAACCGGGAGAGAGAAGACAUAAUACAUCAUCCUGAGUGAGGUAACCCAGACCCAGAAGGACACGCGUGGCAUGUAGUUACCUAGAAGUGGAUGUUAGCCGUAAUGUACAGGAGAACCAUGCUGCAAUCCACAGACCCAAAGAAGAUGAAAAGGGCCCAAGGAAAGAACCGUGAAACUCGGAAGAAGAAACAAAAUAGAAAUCUGAGUUAGAUGGAGGGAGGGAGCUGUGUGGGAGAAGGAGUAGGCAGGGUAACAGGGGCAGGGAUCAGAUGUGGGGAGAGAGGAGGGAGAGAAAAUAGAGAGAAUGGAAAUAAGCAGGGGGAAGCCAUCUCUGGGACAGGGGAGAAGAAGAAAGAAAGAAAAUAAGUUCCUAUCAUUUAAGUCACCUCAUGUGUGGUACUUCAUUUCUGCAGCCCAAGCAAGUAAAUCUAGCUCCUUGCCUGUUAGUGCACACAGCAGCUAGCUUAGUGAGCUGUCCAUCACUGUGACAACACACCUGUGGGUAAAGAGGAGGGCAGGUUUAACAUGGCUCACCAUCUUAGUUCCAGUUCACAGCUGCUUAGCCCUAUUGCAUUGCCCCCCAUGGUGACCAAGCAGCAGAGAGAGAAACGGGCUGGGGGUACGGUAUAGCCUUUAAGAGCCCUCUCCCAGCAACCUGCUUUCUGUGGUUAUACCCCACCCCAGCCUCUCCACAGCCCAUUAAGAGCUGAGUCCAUGCAUGGAUCAAUUUAACCAUGAGGUCCAAGAGCAAGGGUUGGGAGAGUUGUUUCUGAACCUCUCUUCUUGGCAUGUGGAUGGCACCUCCCCGUGUGAUAUCCACAUGUGAUAGCUCUUUUCUUUGAUAUCUACCUGUGAUAUCUCUCUUCUAUGAUAUCCACAUGUGAUAUCUCUCUUCUAUGAUAUCCCCAUGUGAUAUCUCUCUUCUAGGACUUGCGUCAUAUUAGAUUAAGCCCCGCCCAUCAAUAACUUCAUUUAUAACUGAGAUGAUCUCCAAAUACAGACAUGUGCUGAGGAACUCAGGGUCUAGGUUUCAACAUAUCAAUUUUGGUAGCUCAGGGGUGAAUGGAGUACAUGAUUAAAUACAGCAACCACACAUAUGGACACACACACACCCACACCUACAUGUCAUGUGGUAUAGGAAAUUUCUAGAAAAGGCAAAACUUUAGAGACAGAAAAGAAAUGAGUGGUUGCCUGGCUCUGGGGGUUGGGAGCGGGGAUUGACUGAACAAGGGAAUGAGGCCACAAGGGAAUUGGAAUGUGUGUGUGUGUGUGUGUGUGUGUGUGUGUGUGUGUGUGAUAGAUAGAAAUCCUCUAAAAUUUGAUUUUGAUGUUUGCACAACUGUAUAUAUUUUCUGAAACCUGUCCAAUUGAUACUAAAAUGGAUGGAUUCCCCCUCCCACACUUCUCACCCCCAAUCAAAAUAAAGCAGUGAGCUCCCUGAAGUAUCUUCAUGGGGAGGUGGCCAACGUCUGUUUGCUAUGAGAACUGAGGCUGUGAACUGGGGGAUGGAACUACAGAGAUCUGGACUGACUGUGGGGAGGCUGAAGUGACCUUUGCUCAGGGCUGGACCAAAGACGGAGAGCCACCUGGCACCUGCCCUUGAGACAGGUGAUCUGUGGGAAAUGUGGCCCCUGUGGACUGCCAAGCAGGAGGCUGGCUUUCCAGGGGAAGAAAUGCCUCAUUAAAGUGCCCAGAAGAUGCAUGGUCCCUUUCUCUGGCUUAGCGGGGUUCCGAGAGGCAGAAAUUGUUGGCAGAGGCAGAUGAUAAUAUCUGGGAAUGGAUCGGAGAACAAUGGAGUGGUAAGCAGUCAGAAACUCAACACUCCAGGCGGGGACGAUUCCUCACUGGCCGCCUAUUUCUCACUAACUAGUCACGUCUGGUGGCUUGCUUGUAGCCACAGCAAUUGUAGGCCCAGACGGUCAGAGAUGAACCAGACAAAUGCAGG